rnacentral:rRNA from 1 species
CCUACGGGCGGCAGCAGUGAGGAAUAUUGGUCAAUGGGCGAGAGUCUGAACCAGCCAAGUAGCGUGAAGGAUGACUGCCCUAUGGGUUGUAAACUUCUUUUAUAUGGGAAUAAAUUGUGCCACGUGUGUGAUUUUGUAUGUACCAUAUGAAUAAGGAUCGGCUAACUCCGUGCCAGCAGCCGCGGUAAUACGGAGGGUCCGAGCGUUAUCCGGAUUUAUUGGGUUUAAAGGGAGCGUAGGUGGAUUGUUAAGUCAGUUGUGAAAGUUUGCGGCUUAACCGUAAAAUUGCAGUUGAAACUGGGAGGCUUGAGUACAGUAGAGGUGAGUGGAAUUCGUGGUGUAGCGGUGAAAUGCGUAGAUAUCACGAAGAACUCCGAUUGCGAAGGCAGCUUACUGGACUGCAACUGACACUGAGGCUCGAAAGUGUGGGUAUCAAACAGGAUUAGAUACCCCAGUAGUC